rnacentral:rRNA from 1 species
UGAGGAAUAUUGGUCAAUGGGUGCAAGCCUGAACCAGCCAUCCCGCGUGAAGGACGACUGCCCUAUGGGUUGUAAACUUCUUUUGUAUAGGGAUAAACCUACCCUCGUGAGGGUAGCUGAAGGUACUAUACGAAUAAGCACCGGCUAACUCCGUGCCAGCAGCCGCGGUAAUACGGAGGGUGCAAGCGUUAUCCGGAUCUAUUGGGUUUAAAGGGUCCGUAGGCGGACUUAUAAGUCAGUGGUGAAAGCCUGUCGCUUAACGAUAGAACUGCCAUUGAUACUGUAAGUCUUGAGUAUAUUUGAGGUAGCUGGAAUAAGUAGUGUAGCGGUGAAAUGCAUAGAUACUACGUAGAACACCAAUUGCGAAGGCAGGUUACCAAGAUAUAACUGACGCUGAGGGACGAAAGCGUGGGGAGCGAACA